CCUUGAGGUUCCACUUCCAGUCUUGAUGUUCUGCCCCUUACCUCUAAGCGAUGGCCUCUUGUGCCUGGCAAUAUAUGAGCGAAGCACAAUGGACUGGUGCCUGUACAUGUAAUGUAUUUCAUGCAAAUGAAGGGUAGAAUGAGAAGCUCACAAUGAUAUGGUAGACAAGGACCUUGCUGUCUAAAGCUCGGAGGCCAGAUGACAGUGUCUGAACCGGCUUGUCGGAAUUGCGUACAAGGAUGCCAUUGGACUUUUCUGUACUAGUAGCUGAAGGGGGAGCAGUCACCAGAAGGAGCAUGCAACUCCAAAACAAUGUGGAUACUUCUACCGAGUUCAUCUCAAGAAUCAAGAUGUGACAGUGGAUGUACAUGUAGAGGGGUUUGUGACCCUCCUGACUGUGGACUACAUGCAAUACACAUCAAUGGAUUGUAGAGGAGUAAUGGUGGGUCCGGUGAGCUCAACUCUGGAGGUUAAGUUCGCAAAAUUAUUAAAUUUCCUUUUAAUAUGGGUGUAUAUGGUUCCAGGGAUUAAUUUGACGCAAUGCCUCGUAGUGACACGCCCUAUUAAGGGGCAACACACGUGUCAGAAGGUAUAAAAUGGGAAGCAGUUCCUGAAUUGGCACGAGCUUUUACUUUUCGGAUGACUUCCUCAUUUUGUUUCAUACCUCAUUUCCUUUGCCGCCAUGAGGUGCUAAAGUUUUAGCAGAGUUGGGGGCUUCCAGCCCAUAGAUGUGACUUUUCAUGAUUAUAUGUAAUAAAUUGUAAUAAAGUUACUAUCCACUUCAACA
rnacentral:lncRNA from 1 species